CAAUAAGCAUACUUGAAAAUAAUGGCAUCUCGGACUAUUGAAAACAAACACGUCUUACUCCUAUUGAUAAACAAUUCGUCGUGAAUUCACCUUUUGAGGCAAGUUGAAGUACAAACUCAAAUUCAUUUUUGCCAAGACCCUAUUUCCGUCUUAGAAUGUUGUUAUGGUUGGCAUAAUGACAAGGGGCGCAAGUUCAGGUACUUGAAGCACUGCUGGUUUAAAACUUCAACAAAUUCUGCCUCAAAAUCCUGGUCACUGUACCAUGCGCCUCCGGUGACUGAUUCAUCAGGUUCAAGGUUGAACAGCAUGUAAACCUUCUUCUUGGAUGCCUGGAUGGGAAGUCAAACAGAUUAGAGUCAUGAAAAAAACCUGAUUCAGAAACAUAUAAAGUAUAAGGUGCACAAGUGACUGAAAGUAGUCUUUAUUCAUAUUGAAAUUAGAUGACAAAAAUGGCUGCAUUACCACUCACCGCAACAGACUUGACAGCUUUGAUGAGUUUCUUGCUCUCUAACGUCUUUAUGAUCCUAUUGAGCUGGGUCAUUUGCAGAUUACAUUUAUAUCUGAUGUCUCUGAUCCAAAUACCUGUUUACAUUGGAAAGCAGCAAAAAGGCUGAUUUAUAAAUAGAAAUUUAAAGAGGAUAACUUUUAUCUCUACAUGUAAAAAAUAUGAUAAUUCUAUGUUAUAAUUUUAUAUGCCGCAGGGGGCACCACUAUAAAACGAGUACCUUUAUUGCUAGAUUCCUCUAUGGUUUGAUAGACUAGCUUUUCCUCUAAUUCAAAACCUUUAGUUUUCCUGCAGAAAGAAUAAGAAGUAAGAAAAUGAAUACAACCAGAAACCAUGGGCUUAUAAGAGUUGAGCUUCCAUGACAUCACACUAUGUUUACUGACUGCCUAUGAUUAAAGAUAUCUUUAUAUAAAUAUGAGCACUGAGGUGCUUCCAUCCCUGAGGCAUGCUAAUCAAUUUGGCUUGCAUUUAUUUUUGAAGCUACUUGUGGAAUUGAGCUUGGCUUGUCAGUAAAACAAGAGAUGUUUGGGCUGCUGGAACCGAGCCAUGUCAACCGGGAUUAAUCUACCUUUUUUAACAUAAUAAUACAGAAUUCUUACUGA